CACCAGGUCAGGACACGGUAAGGAUUGACGGACUGAAGGCUCUUUCUCGAUUCCGUGGAAAGUGGUGCAUGGCCGUUUUUGGUUGGUGGAUCGAUCCGUCUGGUUAAUUCCGUUAACGAACGAGACCUCGGCACUCCGAAUAGCGCGGCGGACGUCGCGGCCUCCGGGCCGUCUUCCGCACGAGCUUCUUAGAGGGACCGUCCCCCGCCGGGGAAGGAGGUGCGAGGCAACGACAGGUCUGUGAUGCCCUUAGAUGUUCUGGGCCGCACGCGCAUUACACUGACGCGUCCAACGGGUGACUCCCGACCCGAAGGGCCGGGGAAUCCGCAAGGCGCGUCGUGAUGGGGAUUGAACGUUGCAAUUGUUGUUCACGAACGAGGAAUUCCUAGUAGGCGCGGGUCAUCAACCCGCGCCGAUUACGUCCCU
rnacentral:rRNA from 1 species